rnacentral:rRNA from 1 species
AUGGCGUCAGGUUCAGGCCCUCUUACUCUGAAGCUGGCCGCCGUCGCUGCCGUUCUCGCCCUGCUGGUCAUACCUUCCUUGGGACGCUGUCCUUCCCUUGGUCCGGCACCACCGCCACCAGCACAGGCGUCACCGCCACCACCGGAGGCCAUACCACCACCACCACCACCACCACCGGCGCAGGCACCACCACCACCACUGAUGGCGAUACCGCCAGCGCCUGCGCUGGGUCCGGGGCUAGGACCGCGGCUGGGAUGCGGUGAGUGCCGCGUACAGUGCUUCCCGGCGUGCCAAGCCUCCCAUUCCAUGGACUGCAAAGAGGAAUGCGACAACGAUGAGAGCCGCUGCAAGGAGUGCAGGACCCCAGUGAUCGAGAAGUGCAAGGCCGUCUGCACGGGCAGCUGUGACUGCAGUGCUGAAGCCGACAAGUCAUGCAACUCCGAAUGCUCCUACAAUACAUGCAGCUACUGCGCGUACAGCCGUGACAAGAGCUGCAAGAACGACUGUGACAACUACUGCAACAGCAACUGCUGGGGACCAUAG